UACGUAGGGUGCUAGCGUUGUUCGGAAUUACUGGGCGUAAAGCGCGCGUAGGCGGCUUUGUAAGUUAGAGGUGAAAGCCCGGAGCUCAACUCCGGAACUGCCUUUAAAACUGCAUCGCUUGAAUCCAGGAGAGGUGAGUGGAAUUCCGAGUGUAGAGGUGAAAUUCGUAGAUAUUCGGAAGAACACCCGUGGCGAAGGCGGCUCACUGGACAUGUAUUGACGCUGAGGUGCGAAAGCGUGGGGAGCAAACAGG
rnacentral:rRNA from 1 species